rnacentral:rRNA from 1 species
UACGUAGGGUGCAAGCGUUAAUCGGAAUUACUGGGCGUAAAGCGUGCGCAGGCGGUUUUGGAAGACAGGUGUGAAAUCCCCGGGCUUAACCUGGGAACUGCAUUUGUGACUGCAUGGCUAGAGUACGGUAGAGGGGGAUGGAAUUCCGCGUGUAGCAGUGAAAUGCGUAGAUAUGCGGAGGAACACCGAUGGCGAAGGCAAUCCCCUGGGCCUGCACUGACGCUCAUGCACGAAAGCGUGGGGAGCAAACAGG